UACUGUGAAACUGCGARUGGCUUUUAAUGGGCCAUUGUUGAUURCCSWKAMMUUUGGGUUCCGCCACGAUAUUAAAGUGSGAAAACUGCUUGGCUUAUUGUCUGGCGAAUCCGCAGCCGGCCCCGCGGGGUCGGUCCAACGACUAAAUAAUAACGGCUGACUUUGAGUCAGCUAANAUAUAGUCUCAACCCCUGAAGUGAUUCAGCGGGAUCGUUGCAUUAAAUCAGUUAUCGUUUAUUUGAUAGUACCUCACUACAUGGAUAACCGUGGUAAUUCUAGAGCUAAUACAUGCUAAAAACCUCAACUUCGGAAGGGGUGUAUUUAUUAGAUAAAAAACCAAUGCCCUUCGGGGCUCCUUGGUGAUUCAUAAUAACUCAACGAAUCGCAUGGCCUUGCGCCGGCGAUGGUUCAUUCAAAUUUCUGCCCUAUCAACUUUCGAUUGUAAGGUAGUGGUACGUUCUUCCCUUUUUCUUUGAUAAUCAGAUGGUCACGUAGCUAACAUACAACCCUAGGCCUACAAUGGUGGCAACGGGUAACGGGGAAUUAGGGUUCUAUUCCGGAGAGGGAGCCUGAGAAACGGCUACCACAUCCAAGGAAGGCAGCAGGCGCGCAAAUUACCCAAUCCCGACACGGGGAGGUAGUGACAAUACAUAUCGAUCGUGGGCUCUUUUGGGUCUACGAAUUGAAAUGAGUACAAUUUAAAUCCCUUAACGAGGAACAAUUGGAGGGCAAGUCUGGUGAAACAGCUGGCGCCAGACCCACUAUAGGUGGGCAGCCCCCCGGGGCUGCCUGCCAGGCAUCCGGUACGGGAAAAAGCUUUAGCGCUUUAUCCCGUGGCGAGGGGAAACCCCGCCGUAACGCAUGGAAAGAUGCCGGCSACCCCCGGGGGUCGUCUGAAGGACWUGCUAUACRAAUCUGCCGAGGAUCCUUAGGGGUCCCCUUCGGGGGCCCUGWWWWUAGGCCAGCAGCCSCGUAAUUCCAGCUCCAAUASCGWWWWUAAAGUUGUUGCAUUAAAAA
rnacentral:rRNA from 1 species